rnacentral:rRNA from 1 species
UACGAAGGUCCCAAGCGUUGUUCGGAAUCACUGGGUGUAAAGGGUUCGUAGGCGGUGCGGCAAGUUGGGAGUGAAAUCUCUGGGCUUAACCCAGAGGCUGCUUCCAAAACUGCUGUGCUUGAGUGUGGGAGAGGCGCGUGGAAUUGCAGGUGUAGCGGUGAAAUGCGUAGAUAUCUGCAGGAACACCCGUGGCGAAAGCGGCGCGCUGGACCACUACUGACGCUGAGGAACGAAAGCUAGGGGAGCAAACAGG